GUGCUUGCUUUGACAGCACAUACACUAAAAAAUUGGAAUGAUACAGAGAAGAUUAGCAUGGCCCCUGUGCAAGGAUGACAUGCAAAUUCAUGAAGCAUUCCAUUAAAAA
ensembl:snRNA RNU6-797P RNA, U6 small nuclear 797, pseudogene